UUGUAACUUCUGUAAAGUCCUUGGGCCACUCUCCACUUUCAUAUUACUGUAGCAUAGUAUAAAAUGGAACUUGAAACUGGCAAAGCUUUAACCCAUAUACUCCCGAACCGUGAUAGAACUGCAUGGUGGAAAUGCUAAGGCUGCUUGCAGUAAAUGCUGUUGUGCAUAGAAAAGCUGGUGUUAAAAGUAAAGCCAGUGUUACCACACGUGGAGCUCCAUUCUACCCUGAAGGACAAAAUAAAGGCAGCAAUGGUGAAACGUUAUAAUGCUGACCUAAAAGCCCUUGAUUUGUCUCUCUUCCACACAGAUCCAGUUUUGGAUAUCACUGAGUAAAAUGUUCCGGAUUUAACAG